CCUAGGAAUCUGCCUGGUAGUGGGGGAUAACGUCCGGAAACGGACGCUAAUACCGCAUACGUCCUACGGGAGAAAGCAGGGGACCUUCGGGCCUUGCGCUAUCAGAUGAGCCUAGGUCGGAUUAGCUAGUUGGUGGGGUAAUGGCUCACCAAGGCGACGAUCCGUAACUGGUCUGAGAGGAUGAUCAGUCACACUGGAACUGAGACACGGUCCAGACUCCUACGGGAGGCAGCAGUGGGGAAUAUUGGACAAUGGGCGAAAGCCUGAUCCAGCCAUGCCGCGUGUGUGAAGAAGGUCUUCGGAUUGUAAAGCACUUUAAGUGGGGAGGAAGGGCAGUAAAUUAAUACUUUGCUGUUUUGACGUUACCGACAGAAUAAGCACCGGCUAACUCUGUGCCAGCAGCCGCGGUAAUACAGAGGGUGCAAGCGUUAAUCGGAAUUACUGGGCGUAAAGCGCGCGUAGGUGGUUCGUUAAGUUGGAUGUGAAAUCCCCGGGCUCAACCUGGGAACUGCAUUCAAAACUGACGAGCUAGAGUAUGGUAGAGGGUGGUGGAAUUUCCUGUGUAGCGGUGAAAUGCGUAGAUAUAGGAAGGAACACCAGUGGCGAA
rnacentral:rRNA from 1 species